GAUGAACGCUGGCGGCGUGCUUAACACAUGCAAGUCGAACGGGGCACCUCUGACGGAGUUUUCGGACAACAGAAGAGACUGCCUAGUGGCGGACGGGUGAGUAACGCGUGAGGAACCUGCCUUGGAGAGGGGAAUAACACAAGGAAACUUGUGCUAAUACCGCAUAACACAAUUGGAUCGCAUGGUCUGAUUGUCAAAGAUUUUAUCGCUCUGAGAUGGCCUCGCGUCUGAUUAGCUAGUAGGUAGGGUAAUGGCCUACCUAGGCGACGAUCAGUAGCCGGACUGAGAGGUUGACCGGCCACAUUGGGACUGAGACACGGCCCAGACUCCUACGGGAGGCAGCAGUGGGGAAUAUUGGGCAAUGGGCGCAAGCCUGACCCAGCAACGCCGCGUGAAGGAAGAAGGUUUUCGGAUUGUAAACUUCUUUUAUGAGGGACGAAAGAAAUGACGGUACCUCAUGAAUAAGCCACGGCUAACUACGUGCCAGCCGCCGCCGUAACAC
rnacentral:rRNA from 1 species